rnacentral:lncRNA from 1 species
CAUCUACCCAGUGGUCAUAAUAGCUCUGACUGGCAGCAUGUGCAAGGACUUCUCUGUAUCCUCCCCAACCACCAACGGUGUUUUUAUAGUUGUACUGCUGGCACUGACUUGUUUCAUCUUUGCUGUUCGGCUGGCGUUAGUCAUAUGGAAGCACAGCAAUGAACCAGUGGAAGCACCAGCACCACCACCACAGCCAUCAAGCACAGCAGCCUGAGACCUCUGGCAUGGUGAUGCUAUGUCAGAUGCUUUAGAGGGAGAAGUAAGAGCUGAGCAUCCUGCUUCCACUGGUCCUUCCUUCCAGUAGCAAUUACCCUAUUUUUUUAGCUAUUUUUCUGGUUUUUUUUUUUUUAAAUAUGCUGGAUUAGUAAGGCUUGUGCCUGCAAACCCAUCCUCCUCCCCUGUUCUCUGAGCUCAGCUAUUUGCAGCCCCACCUCAAACAUGCACCUUCCUCUGUUUCAUUUUUGGUCAGUGGAGGAAGAGGCCCUUUGGAUGAGUAGCUCUGUAUACAUUUGUGAUGACAGAGCUGCUCCUUCCAGUGUGAGGGGGGCUGUCAGCAGAUGCUUGGCACGGAGAGUUGCCCUCACCCUUUCCUGGGAGCUAUGGUGGGCAUGGGAGGAGGGAUGGCUGAAUACUUCUGACACAGCUGCAAGUCUUCGGCCUAUUUCAGGUUGCUCUAACUCUAGGAACUGACAACCUGUUCAUUUCUCGGCACACAGUAUUAUCUCUGUGACUUUCUUACUGAAGCUUGUCACUGUGUCGGUGCCUCCAUCCAUGGCCCCAAAGUAACAGCAGAUCUGUGUCCCCUACCCCACUCCUCCUUUCAGACAGGGGAGAUCCAGGUGAUAUGGGAGCAGUGGGUUACUUGUCCUGAGCUGUGCCCAGUUGGUCACUGCCUCCUUGCAGCCCUUCUGCUGGGAGAUCAGCCAUUCAGACACCACCAUACCUGAUGGAGGGUGGAGCCUGCUGCUUCAUGGAAUGCUUCUUGCAUUCUGAGCUGGGGUAGAGUGAGUUCUUCCUGGAUCAGUGCUUUAUAAUGUGGCUUCACCACUGUGGGCUUACUUUGGGAAGCCUGAAUGAGUACUGACUGGAUUGUCAGACCUCCACCUCUAUUUGCUGUGCCUACUAGAUUUGAUGGUGCCUUGUUGGUGUCUGGAAAGUCUUCCUCGAUGACUGGUGCUUGGAAAUGCUGAAUAUCUUGCAGUACUAUUACGAAGGUGAAUUCUACUAAAAUAACAUGUUAUUGUCUA